CCGGGCAAUUGAUGUUUUUCAGCGGGUUUUUUUUACACGCUGGAGCGCAGAUACAUGUUGUUCUUGUUCUGCGACUUUCAUAACAUUUUCACACAAGCCAGAAGACUAUGGAUUUGGGCGUGACGUUGCUCACAGGAAUUGCAGUUUACUUGCUUGUACAGUUUGUGUGCUUCAUAUUUGCGGACGCUGACUUGACCUUACUAUGGGCAACCUUGUUUGGGAGCAAGCCAGAGACCAAGUUGAAAGGACUGGUGGUGUGGGUCACAGGAGCCUCCAGUGGCAUAGGGGAGGAGCUGGCUUACCAACUAGCUGGAUGUGGGUCUCGUCUGAUUCUAUCUGCUCGCCGUGUGGAUCAGUUGGAUAGGGUGAAACUUCACUGUUUGGAGCGCUCCAACUUGAAAGAUAAGGAUAUUCUUGUUCUUCCACUUGAUUUGCUGGAGAGAGCAUCCCAUGAGGCAAAAAUGAAAACUGCUAUCCGGCACUUUGGCAAUAUUGACAUCCUGGUUAACAAUGGUGGCCGCAGCCAGCGUUCUCUGUGCCUGGAAACCAGUGUGGAUGUGUACCAGGCGCUGAUGGAGCUCAACUUCCUGGGCACAGUGUCACUUACCAAGCAGGUGUUGCCCCACAUGACGCAGCGAGGGUCGGGCAGUGUAGUUACUGUAAGCAGUGUGGUCGGCCUGGCUGGGGCACCUCUGGCAACAGGAUACUCUGCCAGUAAACACGCUCUUCAGGGCUUCUUCAAUUCUCUUCGAACAGAGCUGACUGAAUACCCAAGGAUACUCAUCAGCACAGUAUGUCCAGGGCCUGUACAGUCACAGAUAGUCCAGAAUGCUUUCACAGAAGAAGUGGGAAAGGCCAUUCUCACUGCUGGGGACCAGCAACACAAGAUGGUCACUAGUCGUUGUGUGCGUCUCAUCCUGGUGGGUAUAGCCAAUGGCACCAAGGAGAUGUGGAUUGCCCAGCAGCCCUUUCUGCUGUUCUACUAUGUGUGGCAGUAUGCUCCCACCUGGGCCUGGUUCAUCACUGAUGUGCUGGGCAGGAAGAGGGUGCAGAACUUCAAGGCUGGCCUGAGAAUACUUCAAAAUGAGAAGAUCCUGCCAUGGAAAAGACGACGGCGGACAUAAAGUGGAAAGGAGGGGAAAUAACUCACACCAUGGACACCUUCAGCUGCGGGGUCUUUGUAAUGCAGAUGGCCAAGGAAGUUGCACAGAACUUCCCCAACAUCCCCUCCAAAACUGAUAUGGAACCUUCAAAAACACAUGGAGCAACUGCGAAAAGAAAUGGCUGAGGAUAUACUAAAAAUGUCUGGUAUGUAAUGACAUUUAAUUCAAAGUAAAUGUAAAUUCUUUAUUUUUAUGUAGUUGUGUGGGACAGCCAUACGUUCAGUUCAUGCCUAUGAUUUCAGAGUUCACCAAAGCCAACAAGUGCUUCAUGUGUGCCACUGAUAAAGAACCUGGAUGUGGCCCAAAGACUGACUGGAAAUGAAGACAAAAGAGUUCAACAGAGUAAAGAACACAAACUGGAAGUGCAGUCUUUGUUGUUGAACAUGUAUGCUAUACCCCAUCCACACUGAAGAGGCUCUGAAAUGUACAUCAACCAGGGAUAAAGAGAAAGUUAACACUGAAAUGUUUCAUACUUAAUUGAAGUUAAGUGUCUGACAUGUUGGAAAAGAUUAAAGGUCUACAAUUUCUGCUUAA